UACGGGGGGGGCAAGCGUUGUUCGGAAUUACUGGGCGUAAAGGGCGCGUAGGCGGCCAGCACAAGUCAGUUGUGAAAUCUCCGAGCUUAACUCGGAACGGUCAACUGAUACUGUGCGGCUAGAGUGCGGAAGGGGCAACUGGAAUUCUUGGUGUAGCGGUGAAAUGCGUAGAUAUCUGGAGGAACACCGGUGGCGAAGGCGGCAUCCUGGACCGACACUGACGCUGAGGAGCGAAAGCCAGGGGAGCAAACGGG
rnacentral:rRNA from 1 species